rnacentral:lncRNA from 1 species
AAAACACAACGAAAUCAAGCUGAACAGAAAAUUCGUGUAUCAAGUGAAAUAACAAUAACAAGUACUAACAAAUAUUAAUUAAUAUUCAACCAGCAAAUUUCUGUCAUCUAUAGAUGGCUUGUUUAGAUAACAAACACAGGAAAUAAAUAUGCAAAUUAUGUAAAAAGUUACUGGUUGAUAGUCCUGAGAUUAAACCAUCAAAAUCAACUACACUGUUCCAACAUCAUUGUCAAAACAUAAUGUCAUGGAUAUAUUCUAAAGGCAUAAAAGACAGCAGAAAGAGGAUUGCGCAUACCUUCAGCGAUGAAAGAACUCGUACAAUAUGUGAAGUCAAAUCAAUCUGCAAAGAAGAAAAUUAUGGUGGUGAUCACCUCAAACUUGAAAGGCAAUAGCUGAUUCAGAAAUCAUAAUCAAUGUAAAACACAUUGCAGAAGAGAAUCCACAAGCGAACUAGUUGUAUCAAAAAUCAUUAUUGCAGAAGAUGCAGGAAUUAUAUACUAUCGCUUAAUCAUUAACUUAAAAAGAAUGAAACACCCAUGCAUCAGUAAAGCAAUUUUCGAUUUCUAAGGAUCAAAAGAUAUAGCGCCACGACAGUAGGUUAGAAAUAUGGAAACAUGAUCUUGUGUCCAUGACAAACAUUUCUAUUCAGCACCUCUGAGGAAUGAACAAAACAGUAACCAAGCUUCAAGAAAUUGGUUCCAACCUCCAUUUUUCCACAAAUGUUUUUUAAUCGUGUCAGCCAAAUGGGACAGCGAUAUCAAGAUAAACACGUUCAUUCCUUCCAAAAAAAACUAUCACCUAUUAACCACUAAAAACCCUACCUACCUAAAGAUAAGUACAAUCAAAAGUUCAUAUAUGGGUGUAUUUAUAACUGACGUGGGUCUUCAAAUAUCCAUUUUUAAGAGCCACAGAUCUAUUCCUAACAACAAUGAAAUACCAAUAUCCUGUCAAAGAUUAUUUUUUUAAAAAAAAAUAUUAAAUAACAUGAUUAUCGCAACGAGAUCCACCUACCAAUAGACUUGGAGAAGUUAAAUUAAACAAGCAGAAAUGUGCUUCAAGCAUAGUUAAAGUUAUUGAUGUUAGUACCAAAAAUGAUCUCAGAUCAACCUCAAACACACUCUUAAGCAACCAAAAUCACUAUCCAAGCACAAACAUAUGCUUCUCCUUGCAAUCUCGUCUCGUAAUCGGAUUAUACUCAAACAAAUCGCGACAACAUAAGCGAUUACUUGAUUAGAUCUGAUCUACCACAUUGCACUCGGAUCAAACUACAAUUACAGUAAAUGGAGAGAAAUCGAAGCAACGAGAAGGCGCGAGGAGAAGAAGGGCACGGACCUGUCGAUCGACCCUGGAGAUAACGAGAUCGGAUCGUGCCGAGGAUGAGAGGAGGGAGAAGACGAAGAAGAGGAGGAGGGCGAAUCGGAAACCCAUCGUCGUCGUCGUCGUCGUCGUCGUGUUAGCGGAUCGCACGGUAGCUUUGCGCCCCUAAAACCCUCCUCCUGGGU